CUCUCUUCCCACUCAUCCAGUGUGACUCAAAUGAAGGGCUUAAAGGAAAUAAGACAGAUGAGGUGUGAAUGCCAGUGGGAAAGUGAUUAAGGUUAUUCACUAGAGAAAAAAUUGUUGGAAUUCAAAGUGAAUUAAAAGUUUGAGGCUAUUUAAGCAAACUCAAAACAGAACGGACUUGGAGAAUUUUUCUAAUAUGGCUAA